ACGGAAGGCAGCAGUGGGGAAUAUUGCACAAUGGGGGAAACCCUGAUGCAGCGACGCCGCGUGAGCGAAGAAGUAUUUCGGUAUGUAAAGCUCUAUCAGCAGGGAAGAAAAUGACGGUACCUGACUAAGAAGCACCGGCUAAAUACGUGCCAGCAGCCGCGGUAAUACGUAUGGUGCAAGCGUUAUCCGGAUUUACUGGGUGUAAAGGGAGCGUAGACGGCAUGGCAAGUCUGAAGUGAAAGGACGGGGCUUAACCCUGUGACUGCUUUGGAAACUGUCAAGCUAGAGUGCCGGAGGGGUAAGCGGAAUUCCUAGUGUAGCGGUGAAAUGCGUAGAUAUUAGGAGGAACACCAGUGGCGAAGGCGGCUUACUGGACGGUAACUGACGUUGAGGCUCGAAAGCGUGGGGAGCAAACAGGAUUAGAUACCCUGGUA
rnacentral:rRNA from 1 species